UACAGGGGGUGCAAACGUUGCUCGGAAUUUAUUGGGGCGUAAAAGCGCGCGUAGGCGGCCACUUAAGUCGGAUGUGAAAGCCCUUGGCUCAACUGAGGAAGUGCACCCGAAACUAAUGGCUUAGUACUAAAGAGGUCGCGGAAUUCCCGGUGUAGAGGUGAAAUUCGUAGAUAUUGGCUGGAACACCGGUGGCGAAAGCGGCUCUCUGGCCCGGUUCUGAC
rnacentral:rRNA from 1 species